rnacentral:lncRNA from 1 species
CCUGUCUUCAGUUGGAUGAGGCAUCAGCUUGGGGGGCAAGCUGGCUGUGUUACCCCGUGCUCGUGGGACAGUUGCCUCCUGUGUCGGCCCCACUGUGCAGUCAGCUGGGGAGGCACUCAGCUUUGGGUCCCCUGUGAGAAGGGCCCCGGCCCCCCAGGACAGAGGCGGUCACAUCACGGUGGCUUCUGGCUUUGGGGUUUGCAGCCGUCAGGUUCCAAUUUCCAAGCCCUUCUGUUCGGGUGACUGUGCCCAGGUUAUGACGACUAAUCCCAAACCAAACAAGGCGUUAAAGGUAAGCGGGGGUGGGGGUGAGCAGACCCUGUUUCUGUCGCGGUCUCAGGCCUGGAAAGGUCCCUUCUGGCCCCAGUAGCCCCACUUUCCCAGGAUUGCCCUGAGUGUGAGGAAGGAAGCCCUGGAAGAGAGUGGGGUGGGGAGGGGGCUGUUGGCUAAAGGAUGUGUCACAGAGAGGUGGUGACAGAAUUGGGGCUUGCGGCCUUGGGAGACGCCAGCUCCGACGUCUGGGGGGAUCACUCCUUGGCAGGGAGCAGUAGGGGUGGAUCCCCGCCGGCUAGGAUGUGCUGAUCACCCCAGCCCCCAGGCGUGGGCAGUGUGGCCUCCGUCCAGUGGAACCACGGGCCAGGCAGCGCAUAUGAAUGGUGGCGCCCUGGCUCCCAGGGUCUGGCUCUGGCUGUCCGCAGUGCGUGCUGCCUCCGUGGGCCUUCCCAGCUUCUGAGGCCGGCAGCGUGUGCUCUUGGGUUGGCUGUCUCGUCCUGGGAGCAGAGCUGGGUCUGGCAGGAGAGGGAACGCUCCGUGCAUUCCUGGGCCGUGCACGUCCAAGCCCCUUCUGAGGUCCCACUAGGUGUGAGGGGUGUGGAAGGAUGGGCUGCCUGUAUCCGUCCUGCCCCGGGCACUGAAGAUACACAGCGGGUAGCACACACGUGGGCCACAGUCUUGCAGAGUGUGGGCGGCUGACGGGAACCAGGCGAUGGCCGGGUGUAGCCAGUGGCCCCCGUCCGAGAACCGUCUGAGUACGCUGCUGUGUGCGUGGCGUCAGGUGACCCCUCAGUGACCGUUCCCGGUCCGUGAUGGAGGAGCGAAGGCCCACGGGCUCAGCAGAGGCCGUGCCGCCCGGUCUUUCUGCUGCCCGGAACCGGGCUCUUGAGCACACAGGCUUUGCCCUGGUGUAGACACAGCGAGCCAUCUUCUAGGGUCCCGCUGCGUCAAGGGCCUCCCGCUGCCCGUG